UAGGGAAUCUUCCGCAAUGGACGCACGUCUGACGGAGCAACGCCGCGUGAGUGAAGAAGGAUUUCGGUUCGUAAAACUCUGUUGUUCGAGAAGAACAGCGCAUAGAGUAACUGUUAUGCGUGUGACGGUAUCUAACCAGAAAGCCACGGCUAACUACGUGCCAGCAGCCGCGGUAAUACGUAGGUGGCAAGCGUUGUCCGGAUUUAUUGGGCGUAAAGCGAGCGCAGGCGGUCAAUUAAGUCUGAUGUGAAAGCCCCCGGCUCAACCGGGGAGGGUCAUUGGAAACGGGUUGACUUGAGGGCAGAAGAGGAGAGUGGAAUUCCAUGUGUAGCGGUGAAAUGCGUAGAUAUAUGGAGGAACACCAGUGGAGAAGGCGACUCUCUGGUCUGUAACUGACGCUGAGGCUCGAAAGCGUGGGUAGCAAACAGG
rnacentral:rRNA from 1 species